rnacentral:lncRNA from 1 species
UACCUGUAACAUAUGAAAACUUGGAGUUGCGAUGUCAACUUUGAUCUAGGGGAUCAAAGUGAGGAUUGAGCUAGUUGGACAUCAUUCCCGAGUGAUUUGUGAUGCGUGUGAAUGAAAUCUCGAGAUAAAUAAGUGUUUCGGCGCAAAUUGGGCGCGAAACGAAAUAUAAAGAGAAUUUCGGAUUUCCGACGCUAACUUUGAUUAAAAGAAUUAAAGUAAGGCGUAAGGAUAAAUUGUGGAAUCUCCGAAUCAAUUGUGAAGUUUCGGAAAAGCCAAGGGUGUGUUUUCAAAGGGUUUUGAAGUGUUCAGUGCGAAGUGGUAGUGCAAAAAGGAGAAAUUUCUGCCGCAUAAUGAAAUUGGAGCUGAUUCUAUUGCUAAUUCGGCUCCAAUAAUGUCAAAAUGAAAAGAAAUUGCUUCCAAAUUAAAUUGGUAGCUUAUGAAGGUCCCUUGGUAUAUUUUGGAAGUGUUUGGGUGAAAUCGGAGUGAAAACGGAAACUUUAGAAUUUUCUGUAAAGAACGGGACUGAGAAAAUUAGCAGAAAAUGCACAGUGUCN